AAAGCGUGCGCAGGCGGUUUUGUAAGUUUGUCGUGAAAGCCCCGGGCUCAACCUGGGAAUUGCGAUGAAGACUGCAAGGCUUGAAUCUGGCAGAGGGGGGUAGAAUUCCACGUGUAGCAGUGAAAUGCGUAGAGAUGUGGAGGAACACCGAUGGCGAAGGCAGCCCCCUGGGUCAAGAUUGACGCUCAUGCACGAAAGCGUGGGGAGCAAACAGGAUUAGAUACCCCAGU
rnacentral:rRNA from 1 species